rnacentral:rRNA from 1 species
AACGAACGCUGGCGGCAUGCCUAACACAUGCAAGUCGAACGAGACCUUCGGGUCUAGUGGCGCACGGGUGCGUAACGCGUGGGAACCUGCCCUUAGGUUCGGAAUAACUCCCCGAAAGGGGUGCUAAUACCGGAUAAUGUCUUCGGACCAAAGAUUUAUCGCCUUUGGAUGGGCCCGCGUUGGAUUAGCUAGUUGGUAGGGUAAAAGCCUACCAAGGCGACGAUCCAUAGCUGGUCUGAGAGGAUGAUCAGCCACACUGGGACUGAGACACGGCCCAGACUCCUACGGGAGGGAGCAGUGGGGAAUAUUGGACAAUGGGCGAAAGCCUGAUCCAGCAAUGCCGGGUGAGUGAUGAAGGCCUUAGGGUUGUAAAGCUCUUUUACCCGGGAUGAUAAUGACAGUACCGGGAGAAUAAGCUCCGGCUAACUCCGUG